rnacentral:rRNA from 1 species
AAAGAGUAUCGUCUUAAGAUGAGUCUGCGUCCGAUUAGCUAGUUGGUAGGGUAAACCUACCAAGGGACGAUCGGUAGCUGGUCUGAGAGGAUGAUCAGCCACAAUGGGACUGAGACACGGCCCCAUACUCCUACGGGAGGCAGCAGUGGGGAAUUUUGUGCAAUGGGGGAAACCCUGACACAGCGACACCGCGUGAACGAAGAAGCCCUUUGGGGUGUAAAGUUCUGUCGGCUGGAACGAAAAAAAUGACGGUACCAGCAAAGGAAGCAUCGGCUAACUACGUGCCAGCAGCCGCGGUAAGACGUAGGAUGCAAGCGUUGUCCGGAUUUAUUGGGCGUAAAGAGUUCGUAGGCGGUUCGUUAAGUCUGAUGUUAAAGACUGGGGCUCAACCCCGGGAGUGCAUUGGAUACUGGCGGACUGGAGUGUGGUAGAGGCUAGUGGAAUUCCCAGUGUAGCGGUGAAAUGCGUAGAUAUUGGGAAGAACACCAGUGGCGUAGGCGACUAGCUGGGCCAUAACUGACGCUGAGGAACGAAAGCCAGGGGAGCGAAUGGGAUUAGAUACCCCAGUAGUCCUGGCCGUAAACGAUGGAUACUAGGCGUAGUGGGUAUCGACCCCUACUGUGCCGCAGCUAACGCGAUAAGUAUCCCGCCUGAGUAGUACGGCCGCAAGGUUGAAACUCAAAGG